AAACGGGCCGUGUACACACGCCGCAGAAGCAUGGUAAGGCCCACUUUACCCAUUACAUUCCGUGUUGCUUAUUAAAAGGAAAGUUACCGCAUGCAUAGUCGCGCUCGCACCGGAAUGUGCGACCCCGCAUGCCAUGAGCGCCCCACAUACGUGCGGUUGUUCCGCAAGCUUUGUUGGCUUUUUACACGAAAGGUAAUAGCUAGGCUGUUUGGGCUGAGAUCAACGGAUGUAGCUUGCUUCCAUUCGUUGACCCAUAUAUUUGUUAAUUAGUUUAACUUAUUAUAUACCUUUUAUUUAUAGUUUAUCUUUUUUAUUCUGUUUGUACCAUCAUAUUUCUUAAUAAAU
rnacentral:lncRNA from 1 species